rnacentral:rRNA from 1 species
ACGUCUACAUUAGAUACCCCCGUAGUCCCAGCCGUAAACUAUGCGCGUUAGGUGUAUCGGUGACCACGAGUCACCGAGGUGCCGAAGGGAAACCGUGAAACGUGCCGCCUGGGAAGUACGGUCGCAAGGCUGAAACUUAAAGGAAUUGGCGGGGAGCACCACAACGGGUGGAGCCUGCGGUUUAAUUGGACUCAACGCCGGGAAGCUCACCGGAUAAGACAGCGGAAUGAUUGCCGGGCUGAAGACUCUGCAUGACUAGCUG